UGGGGAAUAUUGGACAAUGGGGGGAACCCUGAUCCAGCGACGCCGCGUGAGUGAAGAAGUGCUUCGGCAUGUAAAGCUCUAUCAGCAGGGAAGAAAAUGACGGUACCUGACUAAGAAGCCCCGGCUAACUAUGUGCCAGCAGCCGCGGUAAUACAUAGGGGGCAAGCGUUAUCCGGAUUUACUGGGUGUAAAGGGAGCGCAGACGGCGAUGCAAGUCCGGAGUGAAAAUCUGAGGCUCAACCUCAGAAUUGCUUUGGAAACUGUGUAGCUUGAGUAUCGGAGAGGUAAGCGGAAUUCCUAGUGUAGCGGUGAAAUGCGUAGAUAUUAGGAGGAACACCGGAGGCGAAGGCGGCUUACUGGACGAAAACUGACGUUGAGGCUCGAAGGCGUGGGGAGCAAACAGG
rnacentral:rRNA from 1 species